AUUUAAAUAGCUUAAAAAUUAGAGCACAAUAUUGAAGAUAUUGAGGUAAUUAAUAAAUAUUUUUAAAUA
rnacentral:tRNA from 1 species